rnacentral:rRNA from 1 species
GACGAACGCUGGCGGCGUGCUUAACACAUGCAAGUCGAACGAUUUAGUCGUCGGUCAUCAGACGUCAGACGUCAGGGGAACGAAUGGAACUGAAGAAAGAACUCGCUUUAGCGAAAUCUAUUCCGAAACCCUUACGACCGAUGUCCGAUGACUGACGACCGAAUAGUGGCGGACGGGUGAGUAACGCGUGGGCAACCUACCCAUAAGAGGGGGAUAACAGCUGGAAACGGCUGCUAAUACCGCAUAAGCUUUUUAGGACACAUGUUUUAGAAAGUAAAGGAGGCUUUAGCUUCCGCUUAUGGAUGGGCCCGCGUCUGAUUAGCUAGUUGGUAGGGUAACGGCCUACCAAGGCAACGAUCAGUAGCCGGCCUGAGAGGGUGGACGGCCACACUGGGACUGAGACACGGCCCAGACUCCUACGGGAGGCAGCAGUGGGGAAUAUUGCGCAAUGGGGGAAACCCUGACGCAGCGACGCCGCGUGAGCGAAGAAGGCCUCGGUGUAAGCUCUGUUGUAGGACG